rnacentral:rRNA from 1 species
CCUACGGGGGGCAGCAGUGAGGAAUAUUGGUCAAUGGGCGGAAGUCUGAACCAGCCAAGUAGCGUGAAGGAUGACUGCCCUACGGGUUGUAAACUGCUUUUAUACGGGCAUAACGCGCCUCACGUGUUGGGUUUUGCAUGUACCUUAUGAAUAAGGAUCGGCUAACUCCGUGCCAGCAGCCGCGGUAAUACGGAGGAUCCGGGCGUUAUCCGGAUUUAUUGGGUUUAAAGGGAGCGUCGGUGGCGUGUCAAGCAUGGUGUGAAAGGUUGGGGCUCAACCGUACACUUGCAGUGGAUACUGGCAGCCUUGAGUACAGUGAAGGCAGGCGGAAUUCGUCGUGUAGCGGUGAAAUGCUUAGAUAUCACGAAGAACCCCGAUUGCGAAGGCAGCUUACUAAACUGGAACUGACACUGAUGCUCGAAAGUGCGGGUAUCAAACAGGAUUAGAUACCCCAGUAGUC